rnacentral:rRNA from 1 species
CCUACGGGUGGCAGCAGUGAGGAAUAUUGGUCAAUGGGCGCAAGCCUGAACCAGCCAAGUCGCGUGAGGGAUGACGGUCCUAUGGAUUGUAAACCUCUUUUGUCGGGGAGCAAGGCUCGCCACGUGUGGCGGGAAGGAGAGUACCCGAAGAAAAAGCUUCGGCUAAUCCCGUCCCAGCAGCCGGGGUAAUACGGAGGAUGCGAGGUUUAUCCGGUUUUUUUGGGUUUAAGGGGUGCGUAGGCGGAAGGUUAAUUCAGCGGUAAAUUGUCGGUGCUAAACGCCGGCCGGCCGUUGAAACUGGUAUUCUUGAGUGAGCGAGAAGUAUGCGGAAGGAGUGGGG